AUUGAACGCUGGCGGCAGGCCUAACACAUGCAAGUCGAGCGAGCGGCGGACGGGUGAGUAAUGUAUGGGGACUGCCCGAUAGAGGGGGAUAACUACUGGAAACGGUGGCUAAUACCGCAUACUAUCGGAUAACCCAUAUGGGAUUAGCUCGUAGGUGGGGUAAAGGCUCACGUAGGCGACGAUCCCUAGCAGGUCUGCGAGGAUGAUGAGCAAAACUGGAACGGGGACAGGGCCAAGACUCCUACGGAGGCAGCAGUGGGGAAUAUUGGACAAUGGGCGCAAGCCGGAUGCGGCCAUGCCGCGUGGGUGAAGAAGUCCUUAGGUUUGUAAAGUACGUUCAGCGGGGAGGCGUUACCCGCAGAAGAAGCACCGGCUAACUCCGUGCCAGCAGCCGCGGUAAUAC
rnacentral:rRNA from 1 species